UCCCUGGUGGUCCAGCGGUUAGGACUCCGCCUUUUCACUGCCAAGGACGCAGGUUCAAUCCUUGGCCAGGGAA
rnacentral:tRNA from 1 species